AUAAAGAAAGGCGAUGGAGUUCGCCAUAACUGCCUUCGUGGCUAAUGACUCCUACCGGGGA
rnacentral:ncRNA from 2 species